rnacentral:rRNA from 1 species
ACGGGAGGCAGCAGUGGGGAAUAUUGGUCAAUGGGCGGAAGCCUGAACCAGCCAAGUAGCGUGCAGGAUGACGGCCCUAUGGGUUGUAAACUGCUUUUGUGCGGGGAUAAAAAGCGGGACGUGUCCCGCCUUGUAGGUACCGCAAGAAAAAGGACCGGCUAAUUCCGUGCCAGCAGCCGCGGUAAUACGGAAGGUCCGGGCGUUAUCCGGAUUUAUUGGGUUUAAAGGGAGCGCAGGCGGCCUGUUAAGCGUGUGGUGAAAUGUAGUCGCUCAACGUCUGCACUGCCUCGGGAACUGGCGGGCUUGAGUGCGGUGGACGCUGGCGGAAUUCGUGGUGUAGCGGUGAAAUGCUUAGAUAUCACGAAGAUCUCCGAUUGCGAAGGCAGCUGGCGGUACCGUUACCGACGCUCAUGCUCGAAAGUGUGGGGAUCGAACAGGAUUAGAUACCCUGGUA